GUGCCUGGCCUAAUUCUAGAAUUUACAAUGAAAAUGCAAAGGACUAAGAAGCAGUAGGAGAACUUGCUCUACCAGAUAAGAUUUAUUACAUGCUACAGUAUUAAUACAGUGUGCUAUUGGCACAAGGAUAGACAAAUAAGCCAAAGGAACAGAAUUCAGAGACAGACUCACAGAAAUAGGAAUACAGUAUUUAUGACAAAGGUAGUCCUAUAGAGAAUGGGAAAAGGACAGUCAUCUCAAUAAACACUAAGAAGUCAACUGGAUAUUCACAUGGAAAAAAAAUGAAAUUUGACCCCUACCUCACAACACAUACAAAUUCCAACUUCAGAAAAGUAGAUCUAAAUGGAAAAAGUAAAACAAUAAAGCUACUAGAAUAUAACAUAGGAAAUAUCUUCAUGACCUUAGGGUAGGCAAUGAUUCCUACCCAGGACACAAAAAAGCAACACUAUACAGAAAAAGGUAACUGUGACCACAUUAAAAUUAAUUAACUUCUGUUCAUCAAAAGAUACCAUUAAAAGAGUAAAAGACAAAAUAUAAAGUGGUGGGAGAUAUUUACAUCAUGUAUAACCAAACACAGGCCUGAUACAUAGAAUAUAAAAAGAAUUCUAAAAUGGCGGACGGGAAGGCAGGAGAGGAGAAGCCUGAAAAGUUGCAGCGAGCUGGAGCCGCCGGAGUAACGGAGGGGAAAGUUCCAGUCGCAGCGCUGAGAAGCGAUCAGCUGAAAAAGAAGCCGCCGACCUCCCAACAAAGCCUACAAAGAUUUCCAAGUUUGGAUUUGCCAUAGGUAGUCAGACGACAAAGAAAGCAUCAGCCAUAUCCAUCAAACUUGGAUCAAGUAAGCCUAAAGAAACUGUUCCAACUCUUACUCCAAAAACUCUUUCAGUAGCCGCAGCUUUUAAUGAAGAUGAAGAUAGUGAACCAGAGGAAAUGCCUCCAGAAGCAAAGAUGAGGAUGAAGAAUAUUGGAAGGGAUACACCAGCAUCAGCUGGACCAAACUCCUUCAGUAAAGGAAAACAUGGGUUUUCUGAUAACUAGAAGCUGUGGGAGCGAAAUAUAAAAUCUCAUCUUGGAAAUGUCCAUGACCAAGACAAUUAAAUGAUGUUUUGAAAUUGGGGUGUGGGGUAGGUGUAAAGUUAAAAGGAACAGUUUCUUUUUUUAAAGAAUGGUAUAAGACUAUCUUUGGAGCUGCUUUUUUUUUCUUUUUCAUUUUUUUAAAAGAUUGAGGGGUACACUAAUAAACGAGAGUUUGAAAUUAGAGGUAAUUUAUGUGUUACAUACAGAUUUCAAGACAUUUGCUAGUUUUGUAGUUUCAUGUGAUUAGUUUCCAAAGGUUACAGAUAAUAAAGAAAUCAGAAAUGGUACCUUUUUAAGAAUUGCAUAUUUUUUUAGACACAACUAUUAGCACAUUAAGAGGGAAGCAAAAAGUUAUUGUCUAUUUAAAACUGCAAGCAGUUACUCUCUUAACUCCUUAUUACCUAAACUUGUUUGGCUCCCAGGAACAGCCUUAUAAAGAGAGGGAGUAUUGUAUUGGGAGGAAAAUGUUACUGAACUAUUCACUGAAAAUAAAUUUAGAUAAAAUACAGCUUUUUUCCUUAUGGGCAUUUGUUUUGUUUCAAGUCAUCAUAAACUAGGUAUUGCAUUGCUAUCAGUGGAUACAGAUGCUUAGCUCCUAAAAGAAUUUUUUUUUUUUUUAAUGUAAACUGUUGAAUAUUUGAAAUAGUCCACUUCACCUUAAUGGGUCUUGUCUAUCUUCAUUAGUCUUCAAAGAAAAACCAUUUGCUACCAAAGUAAAUCAGUAUUUUGAAUGUGCUUCUCUUGUUUUUUGUUUAUUAGCUAGUUCCUUUAAGCAUUUCCACCAGAACUUGAGGCAAAUCAUAAGGAAGCUGUUUCUUUUAAAACACAAACCACCACCAAAAAUUUAAAUUUACAUAUUGCUUAAAUAUUUGGCUGUUUUUAGUUUUUAAAAGGUAUAAACACCAAAAAAAAAAAAAAAUAUUGUAUGAAGAUGGAAAAUAAGAAGAUGCACUUUCUGUAACCUUGUCUAAGGAUUUAAAUUACUAACUUGUGAACUCCAAUUUGAAUUGAACUUAACUAUCGGCUUUCUUACUAGUAAAAUUGUAUAGUUUAUUUUAAAUGCAUACAUAUUGACCAACGGCCUCUGAAAAAGCACAUUGUAGAUACUGAAAUUGAAGGAAAGAAAAUGCAUCUUCAAACAUUUUUUGGAAUCUCACCACAUGUACUUUGUUAGAUUUGUGUAUUGUAGGGUGUCUGUUUUGUAUUUUUGUAUUGUAUAUGAACUUUUAAAAAAAUGUGACAGUUAAACACAUCUUUAAAAGCAUAGUCACAGACAAAAGAAGCAUACAGUAUAAAAAUUUCCUUGAAAACUCCUACAAUAUUAUAUUUGGAAGCAGCUUCAGAUUGUUUUACUGGUGGCAACUGCUUGCUGAAGUCUUUUAGUUGGUAAUAACUCCAGAGAAGCAGCCUGCGUAUAUUCCUAACAUUUUGUUCACUAGCAUUUAAGUUUAGAAUAAGCCCAAGUAAAACGAUGGAAAUGUAUAUAGAACUCUUAGUUCUUACAUGAUUUAAUUAUAUCAAGAUACAUGAAUUUAACUUACUUUAAUGUAGGCAAACUAUCCCUUUUUUGUCCAUUUUCCCGUUUGUUAAAAUAACAUACCUCUCCUACGUAUUAUUUUCUUGACCCAAAUGAAAUAUUAACCUAAGGUCAAGCUGGGAGAGAGAAAUGACUGAGAUGAAUGUCUUUACUAAAGUACCAACAAAUUUGUCAAACUCAAAAAAAAAAAAAAAAAAAAAA